CGCCUCCUCAACUCAGAAUUCCCACUCAUGAUCCCGUGACGGUCUCCUCCACGCCGAGUUCAGCGAGUUCAUCAGACCAACACGGCUGCUCACGGCAUCAACGAUAAACACAGUAACGCUUCUUACCUGUAAAUGAGUUAGUUAUGCUGCACACACACACACACACACACACACACACACGUAUUAUCUUUAGAUCAAUCAACAUACAGACAUGUUUACUUGCGACAUCUAUGACACCGACUGUACAGUUUUGUGGAGGUAAAUAUACACCACUCAUCACAGGUAGCUAGCUGGCUUGUUGCUUGUACAAAAGACGUACAUACUGUACAGGCGUCCAUGUUUUUUCCCCCCACUUUGAAAAUGAUGUCAUUCCGAGCUCCGAUUUCCCGAUAAAAAACACUCGCAUCACGGCUACGAAUAGAGUUUUACCCACGGCAAAAAAUAUCCUCAAUACCCCAAGCUCACUUUGAACAACAGACUUUCCCGUUUUUCCUCUUUUACCCAGGCAUGAACCGCUCCAAACUCCUCUUCUUCACCUUUUAAAAGCGCGUUUCCUCCAGACAUGACGCUGCUAAUAAUUAGGAGGUCGACCGAUAGUGGAUUUUACCGAUACCCAGAACCAAGUCGGGCGAUAUCUUCCGAUAACCGACUAAUCGACCGAUGUUUCGAACUGAUACUGAAUGAAAACAUAAAACACGCAGAGUCAAAUAAUCCUGAACUUUAUUACAAAAAUAAAACAGUACUGAUUGUACCAAUGUACUGUACUUUUUAAAAUGAAAUAAAUAUAUCAAUUAACAUAUAUUAUUUGUAAAUAAAGUAAAUAAAAAGAUACACGUCCAAACUGAACCAAAAACUAACCGUCCAAAUAACCAAUAAAAAUACAGACAUCCAAGAUGAAUCAAAAAACACUUCAAAUAACACAACAAAAUUAGUCAGCGAUAGUUUGCUAUUUCACCUCUAGAGGCCGCUCUCGUACCGUAUAAUGACGGCGGACCCUCCUCGGCCGCUCCCCUGCAGCCGGGAAAAACUAUCGCUGCGGAUAGUUUCAGCUCCGGCUAUCUGUUAUCGGUGCAAAACCGAUCGAUUGGUCGACCUCUACGAAUAAUACAUCGAGGGCUUGUUUCUGCGUCUCGCCCGUUCUCUUCACGAGCCGCGAUCCCGCUGGUUGAUGACGGAAACAGAACACGGUCAGCAUCUUUAAUCACAGGUCUACCGUCAGAGGAUCUUCACCAUACAGUCUGCCAUGGGUUAAAGGACUAUCACGCGGUCUGUUAUACAAUUCUAAAUAAAAAGAUAUCAUUCCGAUCACGCUGUACAGUGGGAAAAGUAUUCAAUUUAAAAGACGGCAGUAAUCGGAAACGUGUAAAACCCGCCGUAGCACGGCGUACACCACUCCGUGUGUUGCACAGUCUUCUUUAUGAUAGCUUAGCUUAAUUCAUUUCUGGUUUCCAUCCAUCCGUUCUCUGUAACGCUUAUCCUACACAGGGUCACGGGAAGCCUGGAGCCUAUCCCAGGGAACUCGGGGCACAACACACGCCUCCGGACUGGCGGAGAAAACCGGAGCACACAGAGGAAACCCCCGAAACACAGGGAGAACACGUGAAACUCCGUGCACACGGGGCGGAGGUGGGAUACGGACCCCCAACCCCGAAGGUCCGAACGAUACGUUUGAUAUGCUUCCUAUGUUUUGUUGUGAAUAACAUAAUGGUUUAUGAGAUACGCAAAUCAUUGCAUUCCGUUUCUAUUUACAUAGCGUCCCAACCUUUUUGCAAUCGGGGUUUAAUAUCCGGUGCCAUCGUACCUGAAAGUAGUACAGCCAAAGACCCGGCCCCACAUUUCCUGUACGACUUCACGCACAUCAUAACAGAGAAGCCUUUUCCCUUCAAUUGUCUCUGAGCCAGAUACAGAAUUAAAAAAAAAAAAAAGUACACACAUAAUACAUACUAUUGCAAUUCAUAACAAUUUGUAAAUAAAUAAAUAAAUAAUAUAAUAUACAGUACACAACAUGUCAAAUUAGUGGAUAGUUAGCAGGUUCACGGUGAUGAGGCUAAAUUUAUACAGGUCACACACAGUGUUACUGCAGGUCAAGAAACUCCGGGGUAAUCACCUCCUUGUGAAACAAUCCGUCCUUCAGAACCGGUUUCAUUCGCUGACGAUAAACAGGUUCAGUGACGUUAAACAAGUUCGGGUUGAUUGCAUGUUAUAUAACCACACACACACACACACACACACACACACAAUAUCUUUCUGCAUGUCUGAGUACUGAGCUCCGACCUUAGCCUAACACUGGAGGUCAAAGGUUAAAGGCUGAAGCUUUGCAAAGCAGGACCUGCGAAACAACCUGUGGGCAAGAUGUGAUCUCCUGUUAACUUGGUCCUCUCUGCCCUGAUUUCCACUCCGUCCCUCUACAGCGUGUCUGAAAUUGACCCGUUGUUGCACACAUGGUGACGGUUCACUCUACUCCAUGACCCUGCACUGCAAACAGAACACACGGUCGAUUGAGGACACGGACUCAGAUUUGCCUCUCAGGCAAAACCACCAAAUAUGACAUGAGAACGGGUGAUAAAUUCCUCUCGUAAACAAGUGGGUAAAGGUGAUAUUAAAAUGCCUUGAUGAAUGAAGGAGCAAAAUAUGUUCUGUAUGUCUAUUCUAUGUACUUUCUACCAUAUUAUUUAGCUCUGGGACUAAUACUAAUACUACUACUACUACUACUACUAAUAAUAAUAAUAAUAAUAAUAAUAAUAAUAAUAAUAAUUCACAGUCAGAGCUGUCCGGUUCAAACGCUCAGAUGCAGCCAGUGUCAUGGUUCAUGAAAGUAGUACAGCCAAAGACUCUGCCCCAAAUUUCCAGUAUAACUCAGUCUUUUAUUUCUAUUUUUUUAAACUUUCAAUUGUCUCUCAGUCAGAUAAUCAGCCCUGAUCUUUCAAAUUAAACACGGUUACACCGAGAGGUUCUGCUCUUUCACUGAUGCCUACAAUCUUUAUUCUCAGAACAUUUCUGUGUGACCAUACUAUUCUACACUAUAUAGUGAAAAACCAGUGGACACCUGAACACACCCACACCCAAAUGCGCUUCUUCUUCAAACCAGACGCACACAACACAACACAACAGCAGGAGGCGCUUAAACACGACAUCAGCAUGGAGGCGCUUAAACACGACAUCGGCAUGGAACGCUUAAACACGACAUCGGCAUGGAACGCUUAAACACGACAUCGGCAU
ensembl:lncRNA